AUUGAACGCUGGCGGCAGGCCUAACACAUGCAAGUCGAACGGUAGCACAGAGGAGCUUGCUCCUUGGGUGACGAGUGGCGGACGGGUGAGUAAUGUCUGGGAAACUGCCCGAUGGAGGGGGAUAACUACUGGAAACGGUAGCUAAUACCGCAUAACGUCGCAAGACCAAAGAGGGGGACCUUCGGGCCUCUUGCCAUCGGAUGUGCCCAGAUGGGAUUAGCUAGUAGGUGGGGUAACGGCUCACCUAUGCGACGAUCCCUAGCUGGUCUGAGAGGAUGACCAGCCACACUGGAACUGAGACACGGUCCAGACUCCUACGGGAGGCAGCAGUGGGGAAUAUUGCACAAUGGGCGCAAGCCUGAUGCAGCCAUGCCGCGUGUAUGAAGAAGGCCUUCGGGUUGUAAAGUACUUUCAGCGAGGAGGAAGGUGUUGUGGUUAAUAACCGCAGCAAUUGACGUUACUCGCAGAAGAAGCACCGGCUAACUCCGUGCCAGCAGCCGCCGUAA
rnacentral:rRNA from 1 species